AUGUACUACACGACCACUGCGGUUCCUGAGCGCCGUCCGCGGCAGUGGGCGAUUGCGCGCUACGUGUUGUCAGCC
rnacentral:sRNA from 1 species